rnacentral:misc_RNA from 1 species
AACGCACAUUGCGCCCGCCAGCAUUCUGGCGGGCAUGCCUGUUCGAGCGUCAUUUCGACCCCUCAAGCCCCUCCGGCUUGGUGUUGGGGCUCCCUACGUUCGCCGUAGGCCCCGAAUUCUAGUGGCGGGCUCGCCGUAAUCCCGAGCGUAGUAGUGUUACCUCGCUCAGGGCGCGCGGCGGGCGCCGGCCGUGAAAACAAAACCCACACAGAAGGUUGACCUCGGAUCAGGUAGGAAUACCCGCUGAACUUAA